CGGACGGGUGAGUAAUGUCUGGGAAACUGCCUGAUGGAGGGGGAUAACUACUGGAAACGGUAGCUAAUACCGCAUAACGUCGCAAGACCAAAGAGGGGGACCUUAGGGCCUCUUGCCAUCGGAUGUGCCCAGAUGGGAUUAGCUAGUAGGUGGGGUAAAGGUUCACCUAGGCGACGAUCCCUAGCUGGUCUGAGAGGAUGACCAGCCACACUGGAACUGAGACACGGUCCAG
rnacentral:rRNA from 1 species